GGGGACCAUCCUCCAAGGCUAAAUACUCCUGACUGACCGAUAGUGAACCAGUACCGUGAGGGAAAGGCGAAAAGAACCCCGGCGAGGGGAGUGAAAAAGAACCUGAAACCGUGUACGUACAAGCAGUGGGAGCACGCUUAGGCGUGUGACUGCGUACCUUUUGUAUAAUGGGUCAGCGACUUAUAUUCUGUAGCAAGGUUAACCGAAUAGGGGAGCCGAAGGGAAACCGAGUCUUAACUGGGCGUUAAGUUGCAGGGUAUAGACCCGAAACCCGGUGAUCUAGCCAUGGGCAGGUUGAAGGUUGGGUAACACUAACUGGAGGACCGAACCGACUAAUGUUGAAAAAUUAGCGGAUGACUUGUGGCUGGGGGUGAAAGGCCAAUCAAACCGGGAGAUAGCUGGUUCUCCCCGAAAGCUAUUUAGGUAGCGCCUCGUGAAUUCAUCUCCGGGGGUAGAGCACUGUUUCGGCAAGGGGGUCAUCCCGACUUACCAACCCGAUGCAAACUGCGAAUACCGGAGAAUGUUAUCACGGGAGACACACGGCGGGUGCUAACG
rnacentral:rRNA from 1 species